rnacentral:rRNA from 1 species
UACGUAGGCAGCAAGCGUUGUUCGGAAUUACUGGGCGUAAAGAGUGUGUAGGCGGUGCUCUAAGUCUGUUGUGAAAUCUCCCGGCUCAACUGGGAGCUUGCAGGCGAAACUGCCGUGCUGGAGUGUGGGAGAGGUGCGUGGAAUUCCUGGUGUAGCGGUGAAAUGCGUAGAUAUCAGGAGGAACACCUGUGGCGAAAGCGGCGCACUGGACCACAACUGACGCUGAGGCGCGAAAGCUAGGGGAGCAAACAGG